AACGAACGCUGGCGGCAUGCCUAACACAUGCAAGUCGAACGAGACCUUCGGGUCUAGUGGCGCACGGGUGCGUAACGCGUGGGAACCUGCCCUUAGGUUCGGAAUAACUCCCCGAAAGGGGUGCUAAUACCGGAUAAUGUCUUCGGACCAAAGAUUUAUCGCCUUUGGAUGGGCCCGCGUUGGAUUAGCUAGUUGGUAGGGUAAAAGCCUACCAAGGCGACGAUCCAUAGCUGGUCUGAGAGGAUGAUCAGCCACACUGGGACCGAGACACGGCCCAGACUCCUACGGGAGGCAGCAGUGGGGAAUAUUGGACAAUGGGCGAAAGCCUGAUCCAGCAAUGCCGCGUGAGUGAUGAAGGCCUUAGGGUUGUAAAGCUCUUUUACCCGGGAUGAUAAUGACAGUACCGGGAGAAUAAGCUCCGGCUAACUCCGU
rnacentral:rRNA from 1 species